rnacentral:rRNA from 1 species
AAGCUCGUAGUUGAAUUUCGGGGUCAGUAGGUCGGUCGUGCCACCGGUACGUACUGGUCUCACUGAUUCCUCCUUCCUGAUGAGCUGUAAUGCCAUUAAUUUGGUGUUGCAGGGAAUCUGGACUGUUACUUUGAAAAAAUUGAGUGUUUAAAGCAGGCUAACGCUUGAAUACAUUAGCAUGGAAUAAUGAAAUAGGACGUUCGAUCCUAUCUUGUUGGUUUCUAGGAUUGACGUAAUGAUUAAUAGGGAUAUUGGG